AAACUUGUAUAAAGUUGUUAAAUUACGAGCCUAGUUGGUUUAGCCACAGAAAAAGCCAAGAACCUUCCCACUAGCCAUGAUUGGCUGAGAUAAUGAAUGUGCUGGACAUGAGAUCGGAUUUGUCUGCCAUGUUGCAUCUUUUGUCUAUAAAGUGAGCUGCUCGUUAUGUGUUGAUAAUUUUUUCUACUGCUGUUAUUUAGAAAGAUAUAACGUUAGCCAUGGAGAACUGCAAAUAUGUUGCGACUGCUCUCAAUAACAUUGCUGCCCUGAAUUUAUCAGGCACUAUCGACAAAGGUCAGUGGGAAAAAGUUGUGAUGGACUAUUUUCAGGAGGACGAUUGUACCAUGCUGAUUCUCUUUGACUCUUAUGGCAUUGCACACGGUCAGUGUGAACCAGAGUGACUUGACACAAUGGGCCAAGCAAGCUGUACAAACAAAAUGGACAUUACACAGGACGUCUUAUUUAAUAAAAGGGGUUGCAGUCUGCUGUGUAGCGUUCAUCCAUGUGUACAGCAUCAGUAGAACAAGCCUGACUCUCCUCCACCAGUCAUACAAGGAGAAUGAUCUAAUGCCUCCCAUCAAAAAGAGAGCUGGCCCAAGCAAGCACAGGUUACACCUGAAGCAUGAGGACUUGCAACGAGUUGUGAACUUCAUCAACAACUACGCAGAGGAUAAUGCAAUAGUAUUACCAGGACGCCACCCAGGAGACAAACACUUUGGUGGAAAGCUGCUGCCAUCUCAUAUGACAAAAGCAGCGGUGUGGCGUCUCUACAAAGAAUCGAUGACAACAGUUGCUUCGAUGCUCAGGAGCCUGGUGUUGUUGUUGCCAAGGAGCGUCGGGACCAGGAUUAAGCUGCUGUGCAACGCUGAUAUUCUUCCUCCCAUAGAUCGUCUGCCUGUACAAGCACCACCUGGACUGGACACAGAUAGACAAACUUAUCUUUUUGAGACGAUUAGGGAGUUUUGUGACGAAGAGGCUAUGGACAUCAGAUGCCCUGCACCAAAGUCAAGGGCAGGACAGAAACAGGCUCUCCGAAUAUAGAUUCCCUUGUUAAUGUGUGGUUCGGACAGACCAGUUCAUCACUGGGGGCGAGUUCCCAGUCAUCAGCACUAUCUGCAGUGCCUCAGAUAGUGCUGAUGACUGGGAAUGGACAUUCACAUUACUCUCUCCUAACACACACGCCAUACAUUGCUGCUACUAUUUAUGUUUUAUACUGCUGCUCAGCCACUUUACCCAUGAUUGUUUGCAUAUAACUAUCUCAUCUAUCACCAGUAUCACUGAUAUUGUUAUUGUACAUACUUUAUAUUAUUUUGUUCUUUCUGUACUUCUAUUUUUUUCUUUAUAUUGACACUAUCUACUUUUGAUAUUGCUACUAUGCAAGUAACCAUUUCACUGUACUGGUUACACCUUCUGUAGAGACCCAUCCACUUAGCAAGAUGUGGCUGGGGUUAUAGCAUUUCUUUCACAUGAACCAUCAAUUUAGACAAGUGUGUCUGGGUAAGCGUCAUCUAAUAUUUAUAACAUAUUUUUAUCUGGACACUUUCUGUUUAUCUGGAUUUUUUCCUUAUUGUAGGCUACUACUUUUACCGAUUUUAGUCUUAAUCUUUACCACACUACAUGACCGUUAGCACAUGACUUCACAUGUGAAUCCUUAAAGAGAUGGGUGGGGCUAAGGCUUUAGAAGGUGUGAACAAUGCUGAAUGGGUGUAGACAAGAGCUCUCCAGAAGUUUACCAAAACGUUCAAGGGCCAUUUUCUCAAAAAGUGGUAUUACAAGUUUAUCAACUUUCAAAACAAGAGUCGUUGUUUUCGUUCAAAGAGAGAGAAAGUAAACAUGGUGUCGGCUCGUGCACGCGCCUCCAGUCUCAUUGUCCUCAGAUCGACCAAUUACCAAAUGCGCUAAUGUUUUUCAGCCAUGGCCUGCAAAGCCACCAUUCAUCGUUCUGGCGCCUUCUGAGAGCCUAUGGGAGCGUUAGAAAAUGUCACGUUAUGCCAGAGAUCCCCUGUUUUGGUUAGAGAUGAUCAAGAAGGCCAUGAAAUGGUCAGAGAGAGUGCUUCCUGUUUGGAAUCUUCUCAGGUUUUGGGCUGCCAAAUGAGUUGUUAUACUCACAGACACCAUUCAAACAGUUUUAGAAACUUUAGGGUGUUUUUUAUCCAAAUCAAACAAUUAUAUGCAUAUUCUAGUUACUGGGCAGGAGUAGUAACCAGAUUAAACCGGGUACAUUUUUUAACCGGCCGUGCAAGUACUGCCCCCUAUCCCCAACAGGUUAAAACCUAUUUAUUUUUGUUACAAGCCAUGUUUCGUUAAAGCCUGUGUAAAGUUCAUUUGUUUCAAUGUACCGGUAGGCACCUGCGGCUUAUAGACAUGUGUGGCUUAUUUAUGUUCAAAAUAAAAAAUUAAAAUAAUUUAGUGGGUGCGGCUUAUAUUCAGGUGCGCUUAAUAGUCCGGAAAUUACGGUACUAACCAGUCUCCCC
rnacentral:lncRNA from 1 species